rnacentral:rRNA from 1 species
CAGCCGCCGCGGUAAUACCGGCGGCCCGAGUGGCGGCCACUAUUAUUGGGCUUAAAGCGUCCGUAGCCGGGUUGGUUAGUCUCCCGGGAAAUCUGGCCGCUUAACGGUCAGAAUUCCGGGAGAUACUGCCAGCCUAGGGACCGGGAGAGGCCGAGGGUAUUCCCGGAGUAGGGGUGAAAUCCUAUAAUCCCGGGAGGACCACCUGUGGCGAAGGCGCUCGGCUGGAACGGGUCCGACGGUGAGGGACGAAGGCCAGGGGAGCAAACCGGAUUAGAUACCCGGGUAGUCCUGGCUGUAAACGAUGCGGACUUUGUGUCGGACAAGCUAUGAGCUGGUCCGGUGCCGGAGGGAAACCGUUAAGUCCGCCGCCUGGGGAGUACGGCCGCAAGGUUGAAACUUAAAGGAAUUGGCGGG